rnacentral:lncRNA from 10 species
UGGGCUGUAUCAGCUCACAAGAACGGAUUCUACACAUCUCUUCCUAACUCCAUGUUCAGUGACUUCACGUUGGUAGCUUUCAACUGGCAACAGUGGGAGUUGCUACAUCACGGAAAUCAGGGAAUAGUCAAAUCAAGAUUUUUUUUUUUUUUUUUUUUUUUUGGAGAGCCAGUUUACCAGCAUAACACUUUGCUGAUAUUUUGUUCAUUUGUCCCUCUAAGUUCAUGAAGGAAAAUGGUCUAUAGUUUUCUUGCAGUGUUUUUUGGUAUUAAUGAGCCUCAGAAAAUGCAGGAAAAUUCCUGUCCCUGGAUAACAAGAGCAACCAUUUCCACAGUGCUUCAGGGAUUCGGUUUUUAGCCACAAAGCCAGGCAUUCAACCCAGCAACCUGAGCUACCACCUUAGCUGAAGAACAGCCACUGUGGAGUUCUUGCUGGCUGCAGCCUGUGUGCUCGCUCACACAUGGGCACAGUUCUGAGAUGAGUAUGCAAUUACCUUCUUUGCUGACAGCUCUGACAGAUAAAGGUCAUCCUCUACCACUUGCCAAAUUCAGGAAUCCCAGAACAACCUGAUUCAGAAGAAUGUGAAAGAGAGAAGGGAGUUUCAAGUCCUACCUACACAGUUCAAAAGCACAAAACCUUACCUGCUGCACUGCAGGAGGCAGAAGUGAGAGGCAAGAAGUAGGUAGGCAUAGAAAGAGAAUCUAGGAGAUGCUUUCCUUCUCUUGCGAAAGCCUGGAGGGGACCCAAAUUCCUUUAUUCUGCUUGGGCUUGGCUUGGCCCUUCUUCUCCCUACCCCCAUCUUUUCAGAAUCACCAGCUGCUGUGGUUUCUCCUUCCCUUUUAUCUUCAAAUUUCCUCCUUCCUGAACUACCAUGUUCCUAUCUUUGUGUUAAAGAUUCAUCAGAUGCUAAAGUCCACAGCUGCUAAAAAACAAAUAAACACAGCACACAAAUCAGGAUUUGAAUUACACAUUUAUUGUGAACAAUCAUUUGUUAGCCUAAAUGAGACCCUACACUGAUCGUAUCCAAUUACACAAAAGACUGCUGGUCAAAACACAUGCGCUGAAACCAACUCACCUACCUUAGCAGAAGUACUGGGAAUCUGACAGACCUGGGUUCCAAUCAUGCCUGCACCACUUACCUCCUGCCAAGGUAGGUGAUGCUUAUCCCUCAGACACUUGCUUUGCUCACCUGUAAAAGGGUCCAGGUGGCUUACUGCCCAGUUUCAUGCCUCCCUGGCCCCUACACCUCACCCUCUGUUCAAGCCAUAGUGAUUUUUCUCCUACUGACAGUUUAUUAAGGUACAAUUUGUUUAGAGUUUAUAAAGAAAUCAUAAGCAUAUGGUUUUUUAAACACUAAUAUUACUAUUCAUAAUAAUAGCUGACAUUUAAGCUCACCUUAUGGCCCAGGUACCCCAGGUGCAUUAUCUCCUGUAUUUCUGUCAAUUCCCUACGAUUUUACAGGUAAGAAAAGUGGUGAGAGAGGGGAUGUGAUUUGCCUUCCAAUGUCUACAGAGUGGCAAAUCUGGGACUCAAACCAAGUGUUCCUGACUCCAAGGUGUGGGAUGCUACCUCAGCUCCAUGGCACGGCCCCACCUGCAGUCUGGCUUGUGCCUAGUCACCCCUCAGGUCAUGGCAAAGACGGCACUUCUCCUAGGAAGCCUCCCUCCUCACCUAGGCUCAGUUCUCUGGUACUCUCCCAUCACUGUAUCUGUUAACUACCUGGUUUACUAAACUGAGUUAUAAACUCCACAAGAGCAGGGAUCAUCAUGUCUGCCAACCACAACUGUAACAAAUGUUUGUUGACUGAAUACAUGAGGGAAGCCUAAUUCAGAGGUGGCUGUGAGGAUUAAAUGAAAUCUAUGGGAAGCAGGAGUAAGCAGGAAGGCUAGCGAGCCCCUCACAGCUUAUAAGUACAGUGCUAGCUGUGUGAGACGAACAAGCAAAGGAAGAAGCUGACGCCCUAAUAAGUGCAAGGAGCUGUAGAGGUUACUUAGAAGACUUGGUCACUCUUCUAAAAAAGAAAAACCAAGGUAAAAAUGCACAAAAUAGCACAGAACAAGAAAAUAACCCCAGAAACCAAAGAUUUUCAGGACAGAAAUCGGAUGGGCUAAGUCUUAUCUAGAGCAGAGAGGGGUAUUGUGACUGGAGCCCAUGUUUCCUGCCCCCUAUCUAAGGCUCUUUCCAGAACACUACAGGCUUUGACAGGAAAUCUUGAGAGGAUCACAGGAGUUGCUACUUGACCCCACUGUCAGGAACCAGGUUGCAGACUGGCCUUAGGGAGGCUCAGGACAAGAGGCUGAGGCACAACUUUCCUCCAAGCCUCCCUAAUUCUGCCCCUUCACACUCCUACUGACCUGAAACCAGGUUGCUCUUGCAGAAAGCAAUUUCCCGGUGCAAACCUAAUCACCUUUUGAUACCAUUAAUCAGCCAUUUCCCCCCACCCAGGAUCUGACCAAGUCCCUGGAUUAAGCUGCAAAUGAAAUUUCCAGAUUUCAGCAAUUGUCGAAUCUUGAGAGAAGCAGCAACUCCAAGGUCUUCAUCCUGUUCUCCAUAUAGUGCCCAACUAUCCACUGCUCAGCUGUUCUAAAAUUCUUAAGCCUGAAUUUCUUACCAGUCCACCUGUCAUUCAGAUCCCUGUAUCAUUGCUUCAUCAAGUGUAUCAGGGAAGGAGCAAAUCCUACACAAGAAUAGAGCCAGGGCCUGAGGCCCCUCCUGUUGAAAAUCAUCUCUGAAGCACAUAAAAAGUGUCUUCUGCAACCCAUUUGAACACCACUGAAAGAAGCAAUGGAAUGAAAACAGUGAGUCAACAACUAUGGCCUGGGCACCCACAAAAAAACACGCUCAUGCCCUAGAACCAUCUUGCUGGCAAACUCAUCUUUGGAGUACAGCAAACCUCUUCUUAACGGCUAAUUAUUGAACAAUAAUUACAAUAAGAAUCUUCGAUGUUUUUGCUACUUUUCUUACAGAGUUCAGAAGGUAUUUUCAGGAUGCUAAAAACUGUACUUAUAUAUAGGUAACCAGAAUUACAAUUCAGCCAUGCCAUAAGUUAAUGAAUUGAGUGAAAAACUGGCAAAAUGUUGACAAUUGUUGAAACUGGGUGUCAGGCACAUGGGGGGUUCAUUUUACUAUUGCCUCUACUUUUGUCUGUAUUUAAUAUUUUCAUCAAUAAAUAGUUUAAAAAUGAAAGUUCAAAAAAGUCAUUUUGGGACUACCUGACAUCCUUAACCAUAUUGUUCCUAUGGAAUUCAGGAAGCAC